rnacentral:lncRNA from 1 species
AGGGAGGGCCUGGCCUGGAGAGAAUCAGAAAGGCUUGGCAAAGAUGCUAACUUCUGAGCUGGGCUUUGACAGGUGUAUGGGAGUUUACGGGGUAGUGAAUGGGAGAAGGCGUAUUCCAGGCACAAAGAAAGGUAUGUGUGUGUGAACCAGAGAAAUGGCAGAGACCAGGGAACAGUCAUAAGUGUCAUGUGUCUGGAGCCGAAGUUCAGGAAGAAAGAAGGGCCCGAAGUGAGACAGGAGAGUGAGGUGGGGACCUCUGUGAGGAGCCUCAAUUCUGGGCUGGCAGUUUCUACUUGCGGAAUUUCAAAGGUGUUUUUCUUUUGUUUUUUUUGUUUUUGUGAGGAAGAUUGGUCCUGAGCUAACAUCUGUUGCCAAUCUCUUCCUCUUCUUGCUUGAGGAAGAUUGUUGCUGAGCUAACAUCUGUGCCAGUCUUCCUCUAUUUUACGUGGGAUGCUAUCACAGUGUGGCUUGACAAGUGGUGCUAGGUCUGUGCCCAGAAUCCGAACCCGCGAACCCCGGGGUGCUGAAGCAGAGUGUAGGAACUUAACUACUGUGCCACCAGACCGGCCCCUAAAGGUUUUGAGCUCCAGGCGGGGACGGUGUCUGACUCAUUCCUGUGUCCCCAGCACAGAGUCUGCACAGAGCGGGAACUCAGCGCCCGGCACUGGAGGAGUGGAUUAGAAGGCAGGCCGCUCUCCACAUUGACCUGCAGAGUGACCUCUCUGACCCCUAGGAUCCAACCUUACCACAGCAGGCAGAAAGCCUUUUACUGGCUCCCAGUGUCCCGGAUGAAGCCCACACGCCGUAAAUGAUGAUGAAGAUGAAGGUGGUAGCUACCACAUACCUCUCUCACAACCCCCACAACAGUCCUGCAAGGCAGGCGAGGAUCAUUGUCCUCAUUUGUCAAAUGAAAAUCUGAUGGCUCAGAGAGGUUCAGUGACUUACCCGAGGUUACUCAGCCAGCGAGCUGCAGACACAGGCACCAAGCCCAGGGCUGUGGGCUGAUUGUUUGACGGGCAUUCGAGGCCUGUCAGCCUCCCUCGCCAGAGAAGUUGCCAGGCUUGUCCAGGUGCCCAGGCAUCAGCCUCGUCUGACUCAGCAAGGAGCAAGUCGGAGGCGGCUGCUUGCCCGUCAGACUGCUGUUUUCUGCCUGAGAAGCAUCACUUGCCUCUUUCUCUUCUGCUCCUCAAGGAUCAUUCUGCAUCUGGGGGGAGUCAUUUUCCACAGAGUCAAGAGUUCUGAAAACUCGCUUUAUUGUUGUACACUGAAAACGGAUACCAUGUUAUGUGUGAGUUAUAUCUCAAUUAAAAGUCAGGUUAUAUUAGUGUACACAGCAACAGUAGAAGCUAACAUUUAUGCGGCAUUGAACGUCAAGACCGUGCUAAGUGCUUCACAUACAUUGUCUCACUUUGUAAGGUCCAUUAAUUUAUUUAUUUGAAUAAGGACCCUCUACACGUGAUUAAAAGAAAGAGAGAGAGGGAUUACAAAAAAAGCGUUUGGUGAAAAGUCAGUCUCUUUCCUCCUCUGCACUCCUAUCUCCCACGUCCCCUCCCAGAGACCAGUGUGACCAGCUCCUCGGGUGUCCUGCAGAGUCCCGAGUUACUACUAUCUCAUUUAAUCCUCUCAUCAGCCCUUUGAAGUAGGUAUUAUUAUCCUUGUAUUACAUAUCAGGACACUGAGGUUCAGAGACAGGAAGCCAC